UGAUAUGCUUGUCUCAAAGACUAAGCCAUGCAAGUCUAAGUACAUGCCGAAUUAAGGUGAAACCGCGAAUGGCUCAUUAAAUCAGUUAUGGUUCCUUAGAUCGUACUUUUCUACUUGGAUAACUGUGGCAAUUCUAGAGCUAAUACAUGCAGCAGAGCUCCGACCUUCGGGGACGAGCGCUUUUAUUAGACCAAGACCAAUCGGACUCCGGUCCGUAUACCACGGCGACUCUGGAUAACUUUGGGCUGAUCGCACGAUCUAGCAUCGGCGAUAUUUCUUUCAAGUGUCUGCCUUAUCAACUGUCGAUGGUAGGUUAUGCGCCUACCAUGGUCGUAACGGGUAACGGGGAAUCAGGGUUCGAUUCCGGAGAGGGAGCCUGAGAAACGGCUACCACAUCCAAGGAAGGCAGCAGGCGCGCAAAUUACCCACUCCCGGCACGGGGAGGUAGUGACGAAAAAUAACAAUACGGGACUCUCUUGAGGCCCCGUAAUUGGAAUGAGUACAAUCUAAAUCCUUUAACGAGGAUCUAUUGGAGGGCAAGUCUGGUGCCAGCAGCCGCGGUAAUUCCAGCUCCAAUAGCGUAUAUUAAAGUUGUUGCGGUUAAAAAGCUCGUAGUUGGAUCUCAGUUACAGACAGGCGGUCCACCUUACGGUGGCUACUGCCUGGCCUGAACGUCCUGCCGGUUUUCUCUCGGUGCUCUUCAUUGAGUGUCUUGAGUGGCCGGCACGUUUACUUUGAAAAAAUUAGAGUGCUCAAAGCAGGCGUGACGCCUGAAUAAUGGUGCAUGGAAUAAUGGAAUAGGACCUCGGUUCUAUUGUGUUGGUUUUCGGAACACGAGGUAAUGAUUAAGAGGGACAGACGGGGGCAUUCGUAUUGCGACGCUAGAGGUGAAAUUCUUGGACCGUCGCAAGACGAACUACUGCGAA
rnacentral:rRNA from 1 species